UUUAAUUAUUCUUAGUUGCUGAAUUCUUCCGUGAAUUAGUCAUUAUCUAAAAAGCUGAGGACUAUAAAGAUUUGUGAAUAGACUUUUUAUAUUUUUGGUACUGUUCUUAAACUUUCAAGAAAAACUAGCAAGCUGGAAUAUGAUGUUUUCUUAUAUGCUUCAUAUUUUACUCUUUAUAUAGUUUUAUCUUUCAGCACAGUGAGUUUCUAGAGGAAAUUCAAUCAAUACCGUCUAUGACAGAUUAACAAUGGGUACAGUAUUUUGUGUUUCUCCUUCCAUUGAAAGAUGGCAAGUCUCCUCUUGAAUCUGAGUUUGCCUUAGAGAUUUGCUUGAUCAUAGAAUGUUGCAGAGGAAUAUUCUGGGACUUCUAAGACUGGUUCAUAAGAACACUUGCAGCUUCCAUCUGGGCCUCCUGGAACACUUGCCCUUGAAACUGAGCCAUGAUGCUGUGAGGAAGCCCAACAAGCCCCAGGGAGUGGGCUAGCCAACAGCCCCAGAUGAACUCCCAGCUGACAGCUCCCACCAGCUCGACAGUCAUGGUUACAAAAAUAACAGGAUCAUUUUGAAGGAUUAAUGGCCAUGUCUCAUGCCUCACCUUUCCAAUCAUACCUUCAAAUCUGAUAUCUUGAGGCCUCAUCAAGUUGACUAACAGAGAGUCAAGUGAUUUCCAGGAAAUACAUCCCUCAAAAUUUUCUGAGGAUUCCAAGGGGUCUUGCACAGACAGGGAAAUUGAGGUACAGGAAGCUGAGGUAACUUGCCUGGAUCACUUAUCUUGGAAGAGGCUGAAUCAAUUCAAAUCUAGACAUUCUGGGACCUGGACCUGACUUCUUAACUAGGUACUCUGCAAUGUGUGACGUGGGGCCUGCUGUGAGGUUUGAUGCUGCUGCUUUCCUUCUGCUGAAUUGUUACUUGAUGUUCCACUGAAUUGUGGUCCACACUGUCCUUACCCCUGUUUGGCUUGCCCAUCUCUGAGUUGUUCAAGGCUGCAGCUCACCCUGCUGCUGACAUGCUGUUUACCAUAGGUAAACCCUUUUUUCCUCUUGGACCAGCCUUGUCCCAGAGAUUCAGUAAUUUCGCCGAUGCGUUGCAUCACAGGGUAGGGGAGAAGGGACAGGGUAGUAGGAAAGGCUGCACAGGAGGAGUUGACAAGCGCGACCCUAAUUUGAACCUGGAAGCACAAGACCCCCUGUGUUAGCACACCCUAACAUUCAAGCCUUGUUGCCGAAUCUGGUUAAUUCAAGCCAAUUGCUUAAUUACUUGUACUGAUUUUAUCUUGGGAGAUCACACAUUUGUUUGUUCCCCAAGUGUGGACACAUUUUAAGGUGUUCUCUCCUGCCAUGGGACUAUGGAGCCAAUUUGAAAUCAGGGAUGUAGCUAGACCCAGAAGUGUUCUUAAGUAUCUUGGGAUUCAAAAAACUUUUGGGGGAGGAUUGUACAACUUCAUAUGAUUGCCUGCCAUAAAAUAAAUUAUACCCAGUUACUAAGGAAACCAAUGACCAAAUAUUAAAAAGCACAUUCAUGAAAUGACAAUGUAUGUGCCUUUUUAUGAAAACAUUAAAUAUUAAUAUCUAGGAGCAAAUCUGAUAAGUAUCAUGAUUUCAAACUCAUUACGAACAUAAAUGAUGUUCCAAAAUGUACAAAAACCAUAGAAGGAUGUGAAAACAUCUGAUUUCUAUGGUGAUCAAGUCAGAGAAACUACUACUUUUACUGUGGUUUGUUGCCUACAUUUGUGAUUGAAGAAGAUGCUCAGUCUCACUUACAGACACCUGAAGAUAAGAAGAAAAUAUUUUUCCACUGACGUUCAACACACCCUGAAUUCUAUCAUGGACUUCCUUAGGUGACAUCUAUGUACCAAAACUUGACAUGUCAUCUUUUACUAGAGGAUGAACUGUGUCCCCUAUAUGGUAGUUGGAAGAAGAGAAUAUAAGUUCACUGAUAAAUAGGGGCAGACUUCGGAAAAAGAUACUGUGAGUCCUGCAAAACUGAUUAGAAAGGACAGUGAAUAGGGAGUUUCAGGUUUUGGUUCUAGCUUCAAUUCUGCCAUUAACCAUCAGGGAGACUUUGGGCAAAGAAAUUCUCUUCUCAGAUCUUAUCAGGAAAAUAAGGAUAUUGGAGCUACUGAUCUCUCAGGAACUUCUCUGAUUUCACAUUCUAUUAUUCCAAAAAUCUUUUCUUUUACUUGAUUCCACGUUACCCAUAUUUAUUCCUUUAUGAUAUUAAAUGAGAACAGGAAAAUGUCAUUUCAUUUGCCAAACUGUUUCCCCAGGAUAUUCUUCACUUCAGAAUUUACCUCUUCUUUUCCUCCAGGAAUAAGAACAUUAUCUGAAAUAAAUGUUCCUUGCCUUGAAUGAAAGUAUUUAUCAGCUAAAGGAGACUUUGCAUCAACUUAGGAGAAAAGCAAACUUAGACGUGAAAUAAGCUAUUUUCUCAGCUAUGUGAUUUUUACAUUCCUUUCACUUUUUUAAUUUUUGAGUUUUAAGAGAUUGUUUUCUCGUAGCCUGAAUUCUCUUUUGAAGAAUUCUGCAGUGAAACCAUAACUAAUAAUAAUAAUAAUAGUAAAAUGGAAAUGAACCAAACAAAAUUAGCUUGCUGCUUUACUUUUCAUUUUUAUGAGAAGGUCAAGGAAAUAAUUCUUGAUGAUACUCAAGCAAUGGAUGGUCCAAGGCGAGGCUUCUCAACCACAGGGAGAUAAGAGGAUCUACCAUCUGGAAACACAAAUAUCAGUCAGUCAGUUGGGUUCUUGGGUUGUCUCCUGUCUGAGUGUGGCUCUUUAUGAAAUGAAAUAUAGCUUAAAAUGAAGAGUGCAGAUGCGAAACGCCUAGUGCAAUGCUUUGCACACAUGAAGGCUGAGAGAGGGGCAGGGAACUGGAAACCCUAUGGGAAUUUUACUGCUUCUUGGUGUUGGCCUCAAAGAAUUUGGGCUUUCUUGGGUGCCAAUUACAUACAUCCUGUCACAUAAGUAAAGUCCCCAUUAGUAAAAGUUGCUCUUAGUCUCAUUACUCACUCUCUCUCUAGAGCCAGAUGUUGACUCCAGAAAGUAUGCAAAGUUUAUAGGAAUUUCAGAUUCAUUGCUGCAAACUUGAAAUCUUUCCUCUUUGAAGCUGCCAUCAUCUUCAUACCCCUUACUUUCUCUUUUCCUUUGGGUCCUCUAACAAGUCGAUUGAAAGAUAAAUCCAGCUCACUAGGUACUUGUACAUAUAGAAACAUGAUAAAUAUUUAUUGAAAAGAUACCUUUGGGUUUCUGAUCUGGAACUUCUGAUUUGUGACCCUACAUGUAAAGAGCUUGGAAGUUUUCUUUCUGGUCUAACAACAAGUAAGAAGAUGAAUAAACUGAAGAAAAUCAACAACUCUUCUUAGCUCUUCCAGAGACGUGAGGUCACAGGACAAGGCAUUGCCCCCCUCCAAAAUUGGAGAGAUAGAGAGGCAAUUCAGAAAAUUGUUAACUUACCAGAGAAGAAACUCUUGAGCAGAAAACUCUUUGGGAACAAGUACAGGGCAGGAAAACCUAAACUAUAAUUGAAAAAUUGCUGGAAGCUCAGUGUGGAAAAGUCUGAGAAUUAAGAACUCCAUGAGGGACAAGGAAGGUCCCCACGCUUAUGUGAGUUUUACCUCUAGGAGCUCUGGCAGGAUUUCACAGUGAAUAUUGGAGGAAAAUUCUCUCAUGUUUCUGGUAAGGAGACAGGAAAAGGAACCAUUUUGAAAUAUGUUAGGGCAUUUUGUUCUUCUUAAAAAAGCUUGUGCUUAAGAGAAACUGCUUUACCAGAAUCCUAACCUAUUGAGGUUCUAUCAGAGUCUAACAACCUGGGGAAGGGAUUUCCCAGCCCUCUUUUGCCAUCUUGUCCCCUCUAAGGGGGAGGUAGAAUUAAGAAGCACUUGUGAAGUUCACAGCCCAACAGCACAGGCUCACUAAAAGCCUAAGACCUGAUUACAGGACUAAGAAACGCUUUCCCUUCCCCUCGUACCUUGCCACCACAUCACUAAAGCCCUAUUUACUGGAGUUCUUCUUAUCCAUUCUGUCAUGUCCUGCUUUCAACAAAAAGUUAGAAGGCAUAAUAAACGGCAAAAAACAAACACACUUUGUAGAGACAGAGAGAGCAUCCGAACCAGACUCAGAAAUCAGAGGGAUGUUGGGAUUAUCAGACCAAGAAUUUAAAACAACUUUGGUUAGUAUGCUAAGGUCUUUAAUGUGAAAGGUAGAUAGAAUACAAGAACAGAUAGAUAAUUUAAAAAAGAGAUGGAAAUCUUAAGAAAGACUCAAAAAGAAAUGCUAGAGAUAAAAAACACCAUAAUAGAAAUGAAAAUGUCUUUUACAGGCUCAGUAAUAGACCAAACAUGGCUGAGGAAAGAAUCUCUGAAGUUCAAGAUAUGUCAAUAGAAACUUCUAAAACUGAAAAACAAACAGAAAAAUGAUUGGAAAAAAUAUAGAACAGAAUAUCCAAGAAGUGCGGGGCAAUUACAAAAGUUGUAACAUAUGUGUAACGGGAAUACCAAAAGGAGAAGAGAGACAGAAAGGAAGAGAAGAAAUAGUUGAAGCAAAAAUGACUGAGAAUUUCCCAAAAUUAAUCUCAGACAUCAAGCCACAGAUCCAGGAAAUUCAGAGAACACUAAGCAGGAUGAAUACCAAGAAAACGACACACAGGCAUAUCGUAUUCAAGCUGCAGAAGAUCAAAGAUGGAGAAAACAUUUUGAAAGAAUCCAGAGAGGGCAAAAAACAUGCCUUACUUAUAGAGAAGCAAAGAUAAGAAACGCAUGUGACUUCUCUUUAGAAAUCAUGGAAGCAAGAAGAAGUAGGAAUGAAAUACUUAAAAUGCUGAGAGAAAAGAGCUAUAAUUGUACUUCCUGAAUGUUCUAUUUAGGAGUAUGCAAACUUGAAUUUGCAAUAAGGACCAUGGAGUUAGUCAGAACUGGGUUUGAAUUCCGCCUUUGCAGUAGAUGAUUACAAAAAUGACCACAAUUGUUCUUGCUUUUGUAGACCUGUGCCCUUUGCAGCCCUUCCUAUCUAUUUUCCAACCCUUGAAGCUGAGCUGGCAUACUGACUUGCUUUUACUAACAGAGAGUGGUAGAAAGCAUGGAGUCAGUUCCAAGCAGAGCCCUCAAGAGGCCUUGCACAUAUCUGUGGGCUCUCUACAGACUGUCUACAGACACUCUGUCUCAUGUAAACGGAGCUGAGUCAGCUCAGUUGUUCCAGCUGAGUCCCAGAGAUGAGACAGACCAGCCGAGAUCAGCAAGGCUGCCUACUUGACCCACAGCUGACUUGAGAUGCAUGAAGAAUCCCAAAAAGAACAGAGGAUCUGCCCAGUCUAAGCAAACCAAAGAGCCAAUCUGAAGAACGGGAGCUAAGUAAAUGAUGAUGGUUUUAAGCUAGUAAGUUUCGAUGUGGUUUGUUAUGCAUUGUUACUAUGUUAGUAACUAUCUGAUACAGUCUUUGUCACUUACCAACUGUGUCCUUGCACAACACACUGCCCUCAAAAUCUAGGUUUCUUCCUCUUUUAAUUGGAGUUAAUAUUAAGACAUAUAGGAUUAUUGUGAGAUUACGUGACAGGAUGUAUGUAAGUGGCACAGAGGAGGAGCUCAUUAUGAGCUAGUUGUUACUAUUAUUUUCUUCCCCACUGUGAAUGAACCACUGUCAACAAGGCUUCUGUCAGAGGCCUUUUGCUCUUCCUGACUGAUGCUUUGGGUCUGAGCUCCCUUUUGUGGAACAAAUAAAUCCCAAAAUAUUGCCUUACCAGAACAUGGUGCAGUUAAGUCAGGAACUCUGAAAUUGGAUAGUCAGUUCAAAUCCCUGAUAUACUAUUUUCCAGCUUUGUGAACUUGGAUAACUUAAUUUUUCCAGGCCUCAGUUUCUUCACUUAUAAAAUGGGGCUAAUAAUAAUACUUGCCUCCCUCAGUUGUUACUAACAUUAUCAAAUGACACACAUCUAAAGGGCUCGGAGCUAUGCUUGAUACGCAGUAAGCAUUCAGAAGUACUUUGUAAAUAUUAUAUAUUACUGUCAUUAUCAUUAUCAUCAUCAUUAUUAUUAUUAUUGAGAUUUUAGAAUUUUCUAGAGGUCAGUCAAAUCCCAGGCUUGCCCCAUGUGAAAUUCUGCAAGAGUUUCUGCAUUAAGCAGAGAAGUAUUCAGUCACUGCUCAGCCGUCCAUAGGUUGGUGGCCAUUCACUAGAGUUCAGCCAUCUGGCAGGAAGCUGGUGGAUGCUCUGAGUCUUUACAUGCUGUCAUAGUGAACAACUGGUCCAGAAAAAACAGACUAUAAAGAUUCCGAAGGGAGCCAAGAAUGAGAAAUGAGAACAAUCCAUGGCACUGAGAAAAUGGCACUAGCUAAUAUGGAUAUGAACUUGAGUUCAGCCUCUGAAUAAAGAACUAAAAGCCAAAAAAUACAACUGCUAAUGGGACUAGGCUGGUUUGGAGGGAGCUGGACCCAGAAUCCAGCUAAGCCGAAGGGUUUGAACCUUUAUGAUGGACUAUAACAUUGUCGGAAAAAUUCACUGAUGUAGCUUUAAAAGGAGGCACUUUAUACUUAGUGGUAUGAAAUAUAAGGGAGGGGUUAUUUUUGGUGUUAAGAAUAAUAGGCUUUUAAGUCUGACAGAACUGGGUUUGAUUUCUGUCUUUCUCAUUUCACUGCUGUGUGACCUUGGACAAGUUUCUCCAUCACUCUGAGUUUCAGUUUCUUCAUUUAUAAAAUUAGGAUAAUAAUUCCUCUCUGAUAGAGCUAAUGAAAGGACUAAGUCACGUAAAUGUGAAAGAGCUUAACAGGGUCUGGCACCUGAUAAGCACUUAAAAAAUGCUAUGUGUUACUGUUAUUAUUGUUUUUAAUGAAACACCAUCUGCCAACAUUUUUGUAUUGCCAGAAUCUCCUUCUUGGGUUACCAUUUUCUCUUGCCUCGUAUGCCCUGGUUUGAUCUUUCACUUCUUUUAUGCACUCCACAGAGCUUUUGACAUCUGCCCUUCUGAUAUCCAACUAAUGACUGGGACAUCACACAACUCAUUGAUCACCUCCUGGGCUGACUUUGACAUUGGGCAUCUGCAUCAUUUUUACUCGCUUGUUCAAGUUGUAGGUGCCAGGCAGUCUCUGAGGAGUUGUUGAUAGAUGAAGAAAGAGUCCUGUUCACAGCCAAGAAAGCAAGGUACCAGUGAGAUUCAUUGUGGGCCAACAGUGUCACCUUUCUACAAAAAGAUACGAUUCCUGUAACCGGGUCCACCCAUCAUCAUUCUCAGAGCAACAACAAACUUCCCUCAGGAUCAAAGAUGAUCACUUCAAGGUUUUGGAACUGUGCAUUACUGUGCUGAAAUAACGAUGAAGCUCAUACAUGUAAAAAUAGAUGGAUUAGGAACAGACUGACCACAGGUGGGAGACACACCUACAAGAUAUUCAUCAUCACUGACAGAAGAAAAGAACAAUGAAAGACCCUGGAAUCCGUCAUGCCUGAAGGCUGACAUUUCUAAACCCUCUCCUUACUGUCCACUUUCCCUAUAUAAUUGCUUCAAGAUUCUGUAAUCCUUGAAGAUGGUUUUUUUGAGACAUUAGUCUACCAUCUUCCUGAUUAUGCUGGCUCAUAAAAUUAAAACUUCCUUUCUCCAUUCCUAACUUGUUGUAAUUAAUUGACUCAGAUUACGGGGAGAAGAGUGAACCCAUUGCUCAGUUUCACUGUCAAUUCAAUUUAUGGCUGAUUGAUACAUAAUUGAAAGGUCAUUGGCUUUAGUUAGAGAUGCAGUGUGUAGCCUUACAGCAGAUUGGAAUUAUACAGUUUAGCUGGAGAUUGAGUUGAUCCUUACUGGUGGGACUAGUAAGAGAAAUUGCACCCCCCAAAAAAAUCAUUUUAGAAGGAAAUGCUAGCUUGUCCAGAUAUUUCUGAGUAAUUCAUAUGGGCUAUUCCAUUGUAAACAUAUUUUAAAGCUCUACUUUGUAAAAACUGUAGCUUUUAUCUUCUUGAAAGCACAGUUUUAACUCUCAGAGCUUAACUUGGUAAACUUGACAGUAAUGACCAAGUUGGUAACAUUUUCACACUAAUCUAAUCUGGAAAGUGCCUCUUUCCUCAGAUAAUUUUAGCUAUUUGGCUUGAAAAGUAAACUAGGGAAUAAGCUAUUCUAUUCACAACAUUGCUGUGUGGUGGUUCAGAGCACCCACUUAGGUAAUAAUAAUCGUAUUACUAUACAGAUAUUCUAUCCUCGAAAGCAGGCUAGGUCUUAGGGAAAUAAAAUCGUUUCUCUGCCCUCAAGGAAUUUAUAGUCUCGUGGACAGAGGUACUAAUAAAGAUUGUCAUGUAGCAGGAGACAGACUACAAUCAAGUCUUGUACAGAUACAAAUAGGAAGAAGGAAAAACAAGGUUUGACUUAGACACAACUAAAAGUUAUGUUAUAGGAGCAUAAAAUUAUAUAUUUUGACCCAGAAAGGAUUUUGGAAAAUAUCAAAUCUAAUUAAAGUAGGCAUCAUUUAAAACCAUGGCUAAAACCUCAGAAACAGC
rnacentral:lncRNA from 1 species